CAGUAGCCGCGGGAAUACGUAGGGUCCGAGCGUUGUCCGGAAUUAUUGGGCGUAAAGAGCUCGUAGGCGGUCUGUCGCGUCUGCCGUGAAAUCCUCAGGCUCAACCUGAGGCGUGCGGUGGGUACGGGCAGGCUAGAGUGCGGUAGGGGAGAAUGGAACUCCUGGUGUAGCGGUGGAAUGCGCAGAUAUCAGGAAGAACACCGAUGGCGAAGGCAGUUCUCUGGGCCGUAACUGACGCUGAGGAGCGAAAGCGUGGGGAGCGAACAGGAUUAGAUACCCCUGUAGUCCCUGUCUCUUAUAC
rnacentral:rRNA from 1 species